rnacentral:rRNA from 1 species
CUAAGGCGAGGCCGAAAGGCGUAGUCGAUGCACAACUGGUUGAUAUUCCAGUACCACCAUGUUCGCGACCGUUCCAAUACUUUGUUGCUAAGGGGCUGUGUUGACUUCGGUCAACACGAACCGACCCACAUUGUUGCGGAAAGCUAUAGGGGGACGCAGGAAGGUAGAUGAACCCGGUGAAUGGUAGAACCGGGGUAAGCGUGUAGGAGGAGGACCAGGCAAAUCCGGGCCUCACAUACUCUGAGACGUGAUACCGAGCCGCUUCAGGCGAAGUCAUUAAUCCUAUGCUGCCUAGAAAAGCCCAGUAGCGAGUUGACAUGGUGCCCGUACCCCAAACCAACACAGGUGGACAGGUAGAGCAUACCAAGGCGAGUGGGAUAACUAUGGUUAAGGAACUCGGCAAAUUUCCUCCGUAACUUCGGGAUAAGGAGGACCCCAGUAGCGUGACGAGACUUGCUCUCCGAGCGUGAAGGGGUGGCACAAAAUUGAGGGAAGCGACUGUUUACCAAAAACACAGCAGCGUGCUAAGCCGUAAGGCGCUGUAUACGCUGUGACUCCUGCCUGGUGCUGGAAGGUUACGGGGAUGGGCUAGUCCUUCGGGACGAAGCUCUGAACCUAAGCCCCAGUAAACGGCGGCCGUAACUAUAACGGUCCUAAGGUAGCGAAAUUCCUUGUCGGGUAAGUUCCGACCUGCACGAAUGGAGUAACGACUUCCCUACUGUCUCAACCAUAGACCCAGCGAAAUUGAAGUACGAGUAAAGAUGCUCGUUAGCUGCAGAAGGACGGAAAGACCCCGUGGACCUUUACUAUAACUUGAUGUUGUGUUUUGUCAUAUGUUGUGUAGGAUAGGUGGGAGACAAGGAAGCAUGGACGCUAGUCUGUGUGGAGUCAUCGUUGAAAUACCACCCUGCAUAUGGUGAGGCUCUAACCUAGACCCGUUAUCCGGGUUGGGGACAGCGUCAGGCGGGUAGUUUAACUGGGGCGGUUGCCUCCUAAAGAGUAACGGAGGCGCCCAAAGGUUCCCUCAGCCUGGUUGGCAAUCAGGCGUCGAGUGCAAUGGCAAAAGGGAGCUUGACUGCGAGACCUACAAGUCGAGCAGGAGCGAAAGCUGGGCAUAGUGAUCCGGCGGUUGCGUGUGGAAGCGCCGUCGCUCAACGGAUAAAAGGUACCCCGGGGAUAACAGGCUAAUCUUGCCCAAGCGUCCAUAGCGACGGCAAGGUUUGGCACCUCGAUGUCGGCUCAUCGCAUCCUGGGGCUGAAGCAGGUCCCAAGGGUUGGGCUGUUCGCCCAUUAAAGCGGUACGCGAGCUGGGUUCAGAACGUCGUGAGACAGUUCGGUCCCUAUCCUCUGUAGCCGUAGGUGAAUUGAGGAAAGCUGUCCCUAGUACGAGAGGACCGGGACGGACGCAGCUCUCGUGUGCCAGUUGUCCUGCCAAGGGCAUGGCUGGUUAGCGACCUGCGGAAAGGAUAGCCGCUGAAAGCAUCUAAGCGGGAAGCCUCUUCCGAGAUGAAUUCACCCACAGGGUUAACCUGGUAAGGCCCGUGGUAGACCACCACGUUGAUAGGCCGGAAGUGUAAGCGUGGCAACACGUUCAGCUGACCGGUACUAAUCGGCCGAGGGC